UUUACUACAGAAACCACGUUAUGUACUGAGAGUGCAUCAGCGAGUAUCCGUAAAUACAAUUCAAAGGAAACUGCUGCUUUUAACGUAAAGGAGGGUUGAACACAUUUCGACAUAACCAACAAAUCCACGAACAGGGAAUGGUGCGACAUUGCCUGAAAAUAGGUCACGGUUUCGUCCUCAGGGUUCCAGUUCGAGUCGGUGAACGAGUGAAGGCGCAGAAUCAGCUAGAAUUUGGCGGAAGGAUUCGGCCAGUUCCGGAGGCACCUUAAGAAACAACAAGAAGUCUGGGAAG